AAUGAACGUUGGCGGCGUGGAUUAGGCAUGCAAGUCGAGCGAGAACCCGCAAGGGGGACAGCGGCAAACGGGGUAGUAAUGUGUCGGAACGUGCCCUCUGGACGGGGAUAGCGGCGGGAAACUGCCGGUAAUACCCGAUGAUCUCGAGAGAGCAAAGGUGUGAUUCCGCCGGAGGAGCGGCCGACAUGGUAUUAGCUAGUUGGCGGGGUAACGGCCCACCAAGGCUGUGAUGCCUAGGGGAUGUGAGAGCAUGAUCCCCACCAUUGGGACUGAGACACUGCCCAGACACCUACGGGUGGCUGCAGUCGAGAAUCUUCGUCAAUGGGCGAAAGCCUGAACGAGCGACGCCGCGUGCGGGAUGAAGGCCCUUGGGUUGUAAACCGCUGUCGAGGGGGAUGAAGGCCUUCCGGUACUCCGGAAGGUUUGACAGAGCCCUGGAGGAAGCACGGGCUAAGUUCGUGCCAGCCGCCGCGGUAAAAC
rnacentral:rRNA from 1 species